rnacentral:lncRNA from 10 species
AAGCACCAAUUUGGCAUCAAUACAAAUUAAGUCAUUUGCUUGUUUCUGCCUCCCUACCAUUCUGUAGAUCUAAGUUUAAUACACAUUUUAAAUCAAGACAGUCAAUUACAUCAGCUUGCUCAAUCCCUGUAUUUAUUAUUUGCCAAGUAAUAUCUACUAUGGUAAUGGCCCCUUAGUAAGAAUUCUGAGUGUAAGGCAAUUGUAAGAAUACCAAACAGAAAUGCUGUGGGAAUAACUGCCAAGUUAAAAGUUGCAUCUAGGAUCUAGGAUAAUUAAUUUUAUCUGCUUUCAGACUUGUUCUCACUUACGAGGUUGCUAAGUAGAUUUCCUGUAAUGUCAGGGACUUCAUUUUAUCAGGAAAUAAAAGGAACAAUAAUAAGACAAGAGAAGAACAUAUUUCACAGCUGCACAUUUUUGACAGUCCUUUCAUAAAUAUUUUCCUUUUGUUUGGAAAUAAUUCUAAAAGAAAAGAUAGCUAUACCUCAUUUGAGAUACAGAUGUUAGCUGAUACUAAGGUUAGCUGAUACUAAUGAGAUUAAAACCUUUCACUCUUGACAAACAGCUCAAUCCAAAAGAUCAUACUUUCCCCAAAAAAAUCCUAAAUUCAAACACAGUAUGUUUUUGAAACUACAUUUGAAAAAGGGAACUCUAAUUCCAUUUUUAAGCAACAAGGGGAAAAAUAUAUUUAACUUCAAUUUUAGUGUUAUAUUUUAGGAAAGGACAAAAACUCAUGAUCUUUGCUUAGAAGACGUAUACACAAUUUUACCCGCUAAAAAAUUACUGUUUUUCUUUAAGCCUUGGCCAACAUUCCCUAACAAAUUGCUGCUGUAGUAUAGGAAAUGGUGCCUCUAAAUCAGAAAGUCCAGGUACAGGUAGUUUUCAAACUUACAGUGAAGAUUUUGCUCACACUCAUCACACUUUUCUAAAGGUUUAAAUAGCCUCACUAGGAGUCGAGCUUAUGACAUUCUCUACCAAUCCUGGUGGUUAUCAUGAACCAGUACACUCAUUAACUAUUGCAAAGGCAAUUUGUCAGCACAGUGAAAAGACCCAAGGCGGGUCUGUAGGCGGAGGUGAGAGGGGAACAAAAUAUCCAACGUGCCAGGAUAAGAAUUAGAACUGUAUGAAAUUGAUAAACCAGAAAAUCCAAGUUUCAUAAGAUAAUUAGGAGUACUAAAUAUCCUGAGUAUCUUAAAUCUCCAACAUUAAAAUGUGCUUUAGUACACAUAAAGUGUCUGGAAGGAUACACGAGAAAUUGGUAACCAUGGCUAAUAUAUGGGGAAGAAUCUAAGUGUUCCGGGCUGGGGCAGUAUUACUUUCUUAAGUAUUUUUGGACUUCUUGAAUUACGUAUCAUGUCAAAUAUCUGAUAUAUUCAAAGAAAAAAAAUUGAAUUGCAUCUCAUAAAACAUAUGGGUUGCGAAGAACUACCUUAAUUUAAAAAAUUCUGAAUUAUUUAUUAGACAUGGGGCCUCACUAUGUUUCCCAGACUGGCCCUGAAUUUCUGGCCUCAAUUCCUCCUGCCUCAGUCUUCCAAGUAGAUGGGAUUACAGGUACAUACCACCACACCCAGCUAUUUAUUACUUUAAAUGCAACAGUGGCUCCCAAAAUGUAUAGCUAAACAACAACCAGUAAGUUUACUCCUCAAGGGUUAUAAAUAAAGGGAAUAUUUUUAACCUGAAAUAUAAAUUAAAUCCACAUGGAGAAUUUUCCAUAAUUAAAAACCUCUAAACCAAAUAGAUCCCUUUAUAAAAUAUAAAUAAUCACAACCUAAUUUUAUUUUGCACAAAUUUCCCUGUAUGAUUUUAUUAAGAACUUAACUGCUCAGGCACAGUGGCUCAUGCCUGUAAUCCCAGCACUUUGGGAGGCCAAGGCAGGCAGAUCACCUGAGGUCAGGAGUUCGAGACCAGCCUGGCCAACAUGGUGAAACCUCGUCUCUACUAAAAAAAAAAAUACAAAAAUUAGCCAGGCGUGGUGGCGAGCACCUGUAAUCUCAGCUACUCAGGAAGCAGAGGCUGCAGUGAGCCAAGAUUGCACCACUGCACUCCAGCCUGCCUGGGCAACAGAGCAAGAUUCUGUUGCAAAAAAAAAUAGAAAAAAAAAACAAAACUUAAUUAUUUUGAAAAUAUCUUCAUCUAUAAGUGAUUGAAAACACACAUACAUGUCAAUCCAUAAUAAAGCUUUUGUUGUUGGUGGUGGUGGUGGUGUUGUUGUUGUUGUUGUUGAGACAGAGACUCGCUCUGCCACCAGGCUGGAGUGCAGUGCAAGCUUCCAUCUCAAAAAAACCAAAAACAAAAAAAGAAGAGUUUAUCAUAAAAUAUACUGCACAAAUGGCUUAGGAAUAUAUUCUGGUCUUCCCAAAUCAUAUUGUAAGAUAGACUCUACUAUGGGUGAAGAAAAUUUAUAUAAAUAUUCGGUGACUUAUCUGAACACUCUUUAUAGUAAGAAUAGUGGAUACAACUCAAGUAAUGAUUUACAUAUAAAUAAAUAUGGUACUGUCCAAAUUUUCUGUAAUUAAAAAAAUUUAAGUCAAUGCCCUAUUGAUGGAGUAUCAGAAAUGCAAGUAGCAACUCUGAAGAAGGGCACACUGGGAAGAAAAGCAAAG